AGUGAACGCUGGCGGUAGGCCUAACACAUGCAAGUCGAACGGCAGCACAGGAGAGCUUGCUCUCUGGGUGGCGAGUGGCGGACGGGUGAGGAAUACAUCGGAAUCUACUCUGUCGUGGGGGAUAACGUAGGGAAACUUACGCUAAUACCGCAUACGACCUACGGGUGAAAGCAGGGGACCUUCGGGCCUUGCGCGAUUGAAUGAGCCGAUGUCGGAUUAGCUAGUUGGCGGGGUAAAGGCCCACCAAGGCGACGAUCCGUAGCUGGUCUGAGAGGAUGAUCAGCCACGCUGGAACUGAGACACGGUCCAGACUCCUACGGGAGGCAGCAGUGGGGAAUAUUGGACAAUGGGCGCAAGCCUGAUCCAGCCAUACCGCGUGGGUGAAGAAGGCCUUCGGGUUGUAAAGCCCUUUUGUUGGGAAAGAAAUCCAGCUGGCUAAUACCCGGUUGGGAUGACGGUACCCAAAGAAUAAGCACCGGCUGACUUCGUGCCAGCCGCCGCGGUAA
rnacentral:rRNA from 1 species